GGAGCGUUACCCUGUACUAAAAUGGCGGAUCUGUUGACGCAUUCCGUCCAAAUCACAACAUUAGGGUAGGCGACAUUUAACGUAUAUAUCUAUGGACGCUAACUAGUAUUCACGUAUCAUGCUCAACUCUUAAUAUUUUUUUACGCACUUUGAGAGUGUUUGCGUUAUUUCAGAGAGAUAUUUAAGCACACAUGAAGUAACAGUGCCGUCUGUGUACUAUAGUUACACAAUGCAGCAUUUAUCUCGCUCGUAAUCGCUGCUGUCCUCAGAUCAUUGUCUGAGCAGAAGUUUCAUCAUAAGCCAUGACUGUCAGAUGCUCUUCAUCUCAGGAGCUGUAUUUUUAUAUGCUUGAUAACAGAUAUAAGCGAGAAGAGGCUGAAUCCAAAGCCCGAGAAGAAGCAGAGAAACAGAGGAUCGAACGAGAGAAACACUUCCAGAAGGAGGAGCUGGAACGCUUGGAAAGAAAGAAGCGUCUGGAAGAAAUCAUGAAGAGGACUUGACGCAGGAGCACAGUAAUACAGAAAAAUCCGUCAGAAGCUCUUCAUAGUGGUGCGACAAACCAAUCACCAAUGAGCUCUGUGUCCUGGGACGCAGCACCGGUCAUUAACGGAGCUCCGCCCACUAAGCAUCAGAAUGGACUGUCCUCCAAUGGAGACGCUGCAGACUUUAAGGAGAUAAUCAAGCUGUCCAAUCACAGUGGGAACAGUGGGCAGAGUCAACCGGCUGACCCAAUCAUGGCCUUCGAGGGAGGAGAACCGUUCAUGAUGAAGGCGUGGCCUAUGAAACCUCAACAUGUGGCAGAGGUGCUGUGAGAGAUGAGAUAUCAGAGUCUUCUGGAUAUGAAGAGAAGAAGAGAAGCCUUACUCUACCACCGCUUCCACCCUGACGUGUGCCAAACCAACAAAAACAGACUGCUUUAACUUUAGAAACACAGCUGAGCCGGACGCGCUCAGGAGAAAGUGCCAGAAGACGAUCUUAAAGAGACACUUAUAUACAUAUACAACGUUUGCAAAAAGUUUCUGUCUAUUUCACUGUGUGUGUCAUGGUGCAACAUUUGUUGAGUUUCUUUAACAAGUCACCUGCCGAUCAUGUGGUGCACCUUAAAAGAGUCGCUAUAUAUUGAAUUUUAGAAAAGACAACUUGGCUUAUCUUUAUGAUAUGAAUUAUUGUUGUUGUUGUUGCUCUUGUUAUGAUGUAUUGUUAUCGUUCUUUUAAGUAGAGAAAAAAAGCAAACGUGUGUCUUGAACUAUUGCGUUAUUUAACGUGUGGCGCAUCAGAAGAGGCCGAUAUUCUGUAUGUUAAUGUAUAUUUGCCUGAUUAUGACAGACCUGUGGAAUAAAUCUUUAUGAAAGGG
rnacentral:lncRNA from 1 species